AGAUGUUAUUUAUCUGCAAAUGUGUCCUAUUGGCCGGGUCGUGUGGUAGUUCGCUGUUGAUAUUUGGGAACGCAAUAAGGAAUUGAUCCGCAAGCGUACGGAUAUCGGUGAGCACUUCACCCGGAAAAUUAUCCAGAGUAUUGUAUUUAUUUUUUUACCACUUGGAGAAAGAGUGCAUCUGACUAACCAGUCUAUUACUACUAACCUUUAGGCACAAAGAAUGUCUUUCGAUGUGAGUGAUAAAUAGAGAAGAUUGCAACCGUAGUCUCCUUCUAACCUUGGUAAGGAUGAUCUAUUGUUCUAAUGGGGAGGCUAACGGAAUCUAGACACCACAAAGGAUGUUCAACCCGCACCUAUAAACCCUAUCCUUCCUGCUAACGAGAUGUGAUUUACAAAGGUAGCUCGGAAUUGUCACGUUCCUCACUACUACCACGGUCCAGCUAGUCAGGGAAUAUCUAUGAGUACCC
rnacentral:lncRNA from 1 species